UAUGUCCUACGGGGGGCAGCAGUGAGGAAUAUUGGUCAAUGGGCGGAAGCCUGAACCAGCCAAGUCGCGUGAGGGAAUAAGGCCCUACGGGUCGUAAACCUCUUUUGCCGGGGAGCAAGGGCCGGGACGCGUCCCGGCCCGGAGAGUACCCGGAGAAAAAGCAUCGGCUAACUCCGUGCCAGCAGCCGCGGUAAUACGGAGGAUGCGAGCGUUAUCCGGAUUUAUUGGGUUUAAAGGGUGCGUAGCCGGGCUUUUAAGUCAGCGGUAAAAAUUCGGGGCUCAACCCCUUCC
rnacentral:rRNA from 1 species